UACGUAGGCAGCGAGCGUUGUUCGGAAUUACUGGGCGUAAAGAGUGUGUAGGCGGUGCUCCCAGUCUGUUGUGAAAGCUCCCGGCUUAACUGGGAGGGUGCAGCGGAAACUAGAGUGCUAGAGGGUGGGAGAGGUAAGCGGAAUUCCUGGUGUAGCGGUGAAAUGCGUAGAUAUCAGGAGGAACACCUGUGGUGUAGACAGCUUACUGGACCACUUCUGACGCUGAGACACGAAAGCGUGGGUAGCAAGCAGG
rnacentral:rRNA from 1 species